UACGUAGGGGGCAAGCGUUGUCCGGAUUCAUUGGGCGUAAAGAGCGUGUAGGCGGUCAGGUAGGUCGGUUGUGAAAACUGGAGGCUCAACCUUCAGAGGUCGACCGAAACCCCCUGGCUAGAGUCCGGGAGAGGAGAGUGGAAUUCCGGUGUGAGCGGUGGAAAUGCGUAGAUAUCAGGAAGGAACACCCAGCGGCGAAAGGCAGGCUU
rnacentral:rRNA from 1 species